GGUAACAGGAAACAGCUUGCUGUUUCGCUGACGAGUGGCGGACGGGUGAGUAAUGUCUGGGAAACUGCCUGAUGGAGGGGGAUAACUACUGGAAACGGUAGCUAAUACCGCAUAACGUCGCAAGACCAAAGAGGGGGACCUUCGGGCCUCUUGCCAUCAGAUGUGCCCAGAUGGGAUUAGCUAGUAGGUGGGGUAACGGCUCACCUAGGCGACGAUCCCUAGCUGGUCUGAGAGGAUGACCAGCCACACUGGAACUGAGACACGGUCCAGACUCCUACGGGAGGCAGCAGUGGGGAAUAUUGCACAAUGGGCGCAAGCCUGAUGCAGCCAUGCCGCGUGUAUGAAGAAGGCCUUCGGGUUGUAAAGUACUUUCAGCGGGGAGGAAGGGAGUAAAGUUAAUACCUUUGCUCAUUGACGUUACCCGCAGAAGAAGCACCGGCUAACUCCGUGCCAGCAGCCGCGGUAAUACGGAGGGUGCAAGCGUUAAUCGGAAUUACUGGGCGUAAAGCGCACGCAGGCGGUUUGUUAAGUCAGAUGUGAAAUCCCCGGGCUCAACCUGGGAACUGCAUCUGAUACUGGCAAGCUUGAGUCUCGUAGAGGGGGGUAGAAUUCCAGGUGUAGCGGUGAAAUGCGUAGAGAUCUGGAGGAAUACCGGUGGCGAAGGCGG
rnacentral:rRNA from 1 species